ensembl:lncRNA
GGAUACAUGGACUGCCUUCAAGCAGGAAGUUGUCAGUAGAGAAACAGAGGAGUGCUGGUUUUCGACUGCUGUGGAAAAAAUGCACCUCACACACUCAUCUCUUGUUACUGUGGUCCUCCUUGUGUCACCAAAACAGCUCUGACCUGUGAGGCAUGGACUCCACAAGACCUCUGAAGGUGUGCUGUGGUAUCUGGCACCAAGACGUUAGCAGCAGAUCCUUGAAGUCCUCCAAAUGUGUUUUUAGAGGCCUUUCCCAAUCUAAAACCCUCCUGUGGAGAUUCUGACUGCAUUCCCACAUUGACAGAGCUACUGCAAGGAUCUGCAGCAGAAAACAGACCUGAAAAAAAUGGUAGGCAGAGUCUAUUGGACAGCCUUCAGGAUCUGGACCGCAUGAUUGGUGUGAAAUACAAGGUGGCAGAGUCUCUGUCCCGAAAGCUUCUCCUGCAGUCACUGAACCUGAGGACCCUGAACCCUGAGCAUGCAGGCGGCCGUAAACAAAACAUGGCAAGGUUUUCACCGAACCUUCCCACGUCCAACCAGCAGUUAGCAGCUAAUGCUAAAAGAAGACUCUCUUAUGACAUCAACAGAAACAUCAUGUCAUAGUUUCUCCCAACUUUAAAUCACUCUAUUCUUCAACAGCUGGAGAAAGAAUAACUUCAGAUGAAAACAAGCAGAUUUUUUCCCCCUUAAGCCUGUGCCCUCUGUUCCCGCUGCAGUCACACGGAAGAUUAGUUGUUGUAUAUUUAUCUCUGUUAGUAUUUUUGUCCAUUUCCCAACAAUCUAUUUAAAAUCAAAACACAUCACAUGCAUCCUGAUGUUGCUAAAAGACAUUCCUGGGUCAACAAGGAUCAGCUUGAUCAUAUGACAUUACCACAUUUACCUGAGACUAAUUAACUAUAUAGUGAACUUUGCUACUGGUUUUGAUUACACAAUAAAAGCAUUUACCUAAUGUUAGCUUGCUAGUACUUAACAUCAGAUAUCUAAUGCUGGGGAGGGAGCACUGAUGUUAGUUAGGCCAACUACUUAGCUGGUUAACUUAUCGAACGUUGCCAGACUAAUAUUAUUUCUUUCAUUCAUUCAUUCAUUCAUUCAUUCAUUCAUCUAUAUCCGGUGUCAUGGUGGAUUUGGAGCCGAUCCCAAGAACACUGGGCACUGGGUAAGAAUCCAUCACCGGACACCUUGCACACACAUUCAAACAUUCAUUCACACCUAUGGGCAAUUUAGCAUAUCCAAUCCACCUACCAGCAUGUUUUUGGAAGGUGGGAGGAAACUGGAAAACCCAGAGGAAAACCAUGUGGACACAGGAAGAACAGAAACUCUACACAAACAGUAACAAAUGCUGUAUUAUGUCAUUACAUUAUGCCUGGACAAUUGAAAGCACAGGUUAGGGAUAAUUUCACAUAUUACUCCCUUAUUGACCCAGGGAUUCAUUUUCUCAUUUAGCAGAUACGUUUAUCUGUAGUAAAUUGCAAGCAUAGAUAUAGAAGAAGAACAAGAGCAACAAUAACAACAACAAUAAGAACAAUAAUUAUUAAUUAUUAAUUAUUAAAUAUUUAAUAUUAUUAAUAAUUAUUAAAUAAUUUUUAAGGGCUCAGUAGCAUCACUCUGAACUUAGCUUUCAAGUAAUCAAUAAGGAACCUUAACCUAUUAUUACUCCCAGUGUGGACAAUAAGGAUAUUUGGACAUUAAAAUUAUAUAACAUUGAGCUGAAACAAAAUUUACUAGUCCUGUGCCAAAACGUGAUCCAUACUGUUACACUUUACAUUUUCUUCUUUGUAAUGACGUUUCAAUUGUUCUGGUUCUUGUCUCUCAAAUUACAUUUGUUUCAGAUUAAAUGUUUGUUGUCCAAAUUAUCAUCCUAGCUCACUGUUCAAUGAAAUGAAUGAUGAAUAUUUGGAUUUUUUUUCAGACCAUUAAAAUCUAACUGCUUUUAUUUUCUUUAUUUUUCAUUUGAAUCAGACAAUUACAAUGUGCCAUUUUUACCAAAUGUGAAAUUCUGAAGAAUAAAAACUAUUUUCUCAGUUUGAUGAUCAUGUACUCCUGUCAACAUGUUAAUAAUAAUGAUGAUGAUAAUAAAAAAAAGUAAUCAUUGGAUUUGAGCUUGUUUCUGCAAAUGGCUGAUUGUGGUUGCAAAG